CGCCUGUUUACCAAAAACAUAGCCAUAAGACGAUAUUUUUGGUUCAACCUGCCCAAUGUGAAAAUGAAUGGCCGCGGUACCCUGACCGUGCUAAGGUAGCGUAAUCAUUUGGCUUUUAAAUGGAGCCAGGUAUGAAUGGGAGAACCUGGUUCAGCUGUCUCCGAAUUAGUUAUUUGAAUUUACUGUUUAAGUGAAAAAGCUUAAUUUUAAUAAAGGGACGAGAAGACCCUUAGAAUUUUUUUCAAAGACAAUAGUAUGGUCUACGAUUUUGUUGGGGUGACAAAGAGAUAAUUAAAACUUUCUUUUUAAACAAGCCGAUUAUAUUAAGGAAGGAUAAAUUACCUGAGGGAUAACAGCAUAAUUCUACAAGUGAGUUUGUGACCUCGAUGUUGGACUAGGAAACUAGCAGGCUAGCCGUUUGCUGUGUUGGUUCUGUUCGAACUAUAAUUCCU
rnacentral:rRNA from 1 species